rnacentral:rRNA from 1 species
UGGCGACACGCUAGAAGACGGGUGUGCGUAUGAUUAGGUAGUUGGCGGGGUAACGGCCCACCAAGCCUGCGAUCAUUAACUGGUGUGAGAGCACGACCAGUCACACGGGCACUGAGACACGGGCCCGACUCCUACGGGAGGCAGCAGUAAGGAAUAUUGGUCAAUGGAGGAAACUCUGAACCAGCCAUGCCGCGUGGAGGAUGAAGGUCCUCUGGAUUGUAAACUUCUUUUAUAGGGGGCGAAAAAAGGCUUUUCUAAGUCGUCUGACGGUACCCUAUGAAUAAGCACCGGCUAACUCCGUGCCAGCAGCCGCGGUAAUACGGAGGGUGCAAGCGUUAUCCGGAUUCACUGGGUUUAAAGGGAGCGUAGGUGGGCUAGUAAGUCAGUGGUGAAAUCUUCCUGCUUAACGGGAAAACUGCCAUUGAUACUAUUGGUCUUGAAUAUUGUGGAGGUUAGC